AUUGAACGCUGGCGGCAGGCCUAACACAUGCAAGUCGAACGAGUGGCGGACGGGUGCGUAAUGUCUGGGACACUGCCCGAUGGAGGGGGAUAACUACUGGAAACGGUAGCUAAUACCGCAUACCAUCAGAUGUGCCCAGCUGGGUUUCGCUAGUUUGUGGGGUAACGGCUCACCAAGGCGACGAUCCCUAGCUGGUCUGAGAGGAUGACCAGCCACACUGGAACGGAGACACGGUCCAGACUCCUACGGGAGGCAGCAGUGGGGAAUAUUGCACAAUGGGCGCAAGCCUGAUGCAGCAAUGCCGCGUGUAUGAAGAAGGCCUUCGGGUUGUAAAGUACUUUCAGCGGGGAGGCGUUACCCGCAGAAGAAGCACCGGCUAACUCCGUGCCAGCCGCCGCGGUAAUAC
rnacentral:rRNA from 1 species